rnacentral:lncRNA from 1 species
UAUUUUGUGUUAUGUCUUCGUCGUGUAGUUUUCCUUGGUUUUUAUUUGGUAUCCCUUGUUGGUUUGCAUUUUAUUUGUUGAUGAGUGUUAGAAUUGCUUGCUAGUAUGUUUGCUUAUAUGAAUGCUAUGUUGGACUUUAUAGAUUUUCAACGGAGUGACGAAUAGUUCUACCAAGUCAUUAUUCCGAGAGUUUUGUUAUCUUCAUCAAGUAAUACCAGGCAAGUUCACUUUGACCAUGUUUUUCAUACCUAUGUUUUAUUGCAUUUAGUGUCAUCUUUGCAACAAUCCCUCCAGUAGUGAUAUUCAAUUCUUGUAGUUGAGUAGUAUGCAUGAGGUAGGAACCCAUCACCCUGUUACCAAGCCCGGGACGUUAUUUAUUUUAAUGCUACGCUAUAGUAGACGGGGUUUGGUAUGAGUGCACGAGAGUGGUGUGAAGAAGGAGGACUCUACGUCAAUGACGACAACUCCAUGAUGGCAUAUGCGAGGACUGCAUCUUCAAGGCCCCAAGACUUCAAGACUCGAGACAAGAAUUCAAUACACACUACUGGGUGAAGGACGGUUGACGGGCACCCUGGAGAAACCAGUGGAUGCCGGGAUGCAUGGAGAAGCGCCAUGACAUCUUGCGGAAAGCUUCACCCAGACUCAAAGAGACGGAAGAAUACUUCAUGCCCGGAAGCUUACCUGUGCAACCGCAAGUCACUAUGGGCUCUGGCUUGGUUGACCUUAGUUGUGACUCUGGCUGGGACGGUGCUAGCAGAUGUAGAACUACGGUAGGAUUGGAUGAGCACCGGACAGUGGUCAAAGGAACUCUUUGGAAGACCAUGUUUCAGUCAUCUUGUUCUCAAACACCCUGAAGUGCGAGAACGUAAAAAGAGGGAUCGAAUCUUGCGGGUAAAGUGUACAAACCUCUACAGAGGGUUAAAACCUAAUCGAUUAGCCGUGUCCCCGGUUAUGGACAAUUUGAGCCUCUGGACUUGGAUCUAUCUCGGAACUCUCAACACCAGACUGAUAACAUAAUUGUGGGCAAGUUAUGAUGAUUCGGGCAAUGAGACAUCGGUUGGCGGAACCAUGUCAUGAUAGAAAACUCCGUAGUACAGACUCCUGAUGUCCUUUUGUUAUAGGAAAAUAAACCAGCUUUUACGCAAACAAAACUCAGAUACAGAGCCACAAAGCCAUAUUGCAUAUAGCAUAGUUUAUCAUCUGUUUUUAUUACAGUGAUCUUGCCGGUACAUUCAAUGUACUGACCUACACGGCUGCAACGUAUCAUGUUGCAGGAUUAUUUCUACGACGAGUGAGUUUCAUUGAUUGGGUUACGGUCUACACUCAACCUGCCGAUGGCGUUGAUGGGACUCCACACCCGAUUGUUUGUUUCCGCUGAGACUUAUGAGGUAUAUAUCAGUUUUACAUUAUUUAUACAUGUGAUUGCACUUUGAUAUAUACAUUGAUGUACAGUGUGUGCCAGCAUACUGAUCCAGGGAUGGCACAGAUACACAGAGAAUUGACCGUCUGAGGUCGGGUCGCUACAGAUAUGGUAUCAGAGCAAAUGUUGACUGUAGGACGUGACCCUAGAAAUUGGAAAGCCACUAGGACAGGAAAUCUCUAAAAUUAUACUUUUAAAAAGACCCCUACUCCUCAUCUUUUCUGAUUUUAUCAAAUAGUCCCUCUUACCUCAAAUAGUUAGAACAUACCAUAUCCCCUUUUGACCACUCGGAGGAUCAGCUGAAGCCACUCCAUGAAGGACUAGAUAUCACACAACUGAUAACCACUUCAGAGUAAAGAGGAUUUCAUCAUUUGAAGUCUUCGAAGACUCGAAGAAUUUCAAGACUAAAGAUUUAUUUGACCUUUAGAAGACCAAACUCCUGUUAUAUACUUACGUUAGAUGCAACGAUUUGUGAGCUGUCAUUUGUUUGAUGUUUUUCCGACAGCCACAAAAAUAAAACCGAUUUCUUCAAAACUAUUGUUUGUAUUGUGUGUAUCCCUCCCCACCUCUCUCAUAUCUCACCCCAAAACCCUUGGAACCAAUAGAUGAAUGAAGAUGGACUUGUGUUCUCUGGACCGAUGACUCAGCCGGAGGUAGAACUAUGGAUUCAAAAUAUGGAGGAUCACUUCAGGAACAACUUGAUUGGAAGCAAGUAUGAGGUUCAAUACGCUCUUCGGUACUUUACAAAAAGUGCUGCAACCUGGUGGAAAAUGCAUCAUGCCAUACAGGGAUGUAAUGGAGCAAGAACUUGGGAGGAAUUCAAGAAGACUCUGUUGAGAUCUCGUCUUAUUCGGAAGAACUAUGAUAACCCGAAGAAGAAACCUUGUGCUUGCAAGAUUUGCGGAGAAAUAGGACACACCCAGGAGGAACACAAGGAUGGAUGCCCUCAUUGUGAGGAGAAUCACCCAACCGAAGAGUGCCUGACUGGGCAAGUUACUUGUUUCCUGUGUGAAGGAACUACACACUACCCUGAUCAGUGUCACAUUUACCCCAAGGUACAAGAAAUUACCAAGCAGCAGAAAGAAGCCCUUAGGGAAAGUUUAGAGGAACCCGUGAUGAAGGACGUUGUUGAAAACCCUGAAGAAGAAGGCCUAAACAGAUUUUACUCCAAUGCUUCCUAUUCAUGUGGAGGAGAAGGACAUUAUUCUCAGUAUUGCACAAAGGAAAGAGAAGAGUAUCCCGGAGACUUCCCGACAGCAGAAGUGAAGUUUGACCCUCAGGAAAUAGAAGCUCUGAUCAUUACAGAGAAAUCCAGGAAGAGAAAACGAAGGCAACCCCAGAACAACCCAACUUCUGCAAAGAAGGACCUGAGUCAUAUCACUUGUUACAGGUGUAAGGAUUUAGGUCAUUACGCUAGUCAAUGUCCAGAAAAGAAGCCAAGAAUCCAAGGAACCUACAUAAUCACAAAGAAGCCCCGAGACAUUUGUUUUCGCUGCAAGGAAGCAGGACAUUUUUCUAGGGAAUGUUCAAAUCAGAAGAAAGCUGGAGCUGAGUAGUUGAGAUUUUGAUAUGGAUAAUAAGACUGGUAGAAAGCAAUCUUAUUUUCAUAAGUUCGAUGAGUUGAGUUAUGUAAUGGGUGCUCAGAGAUUGUAAUGAAUUCAUGAAAUCAAUAAAGUUAAUGUGUUAUGAUUUCAUAUGUUGUAUUAUGUGAGUUUUUACCCUAUGAACAAAGAUUUUGGACCAGUUUCGAGGAUAUGAGAAAUAUGGUCUAUGGAUGGAUUUGUGAAUUUCAUUUAAGGGUGGUAGUACCCUGUGAAGAACACUAGACCAAUGGAAAGGGAAAUGUGUCCCACAAAUUGGAUUUUGGACAAAACGAGUUGGACUUUUAUCUUUGAUAUGAUGGUAUGAAGAAAUGAAAUACUAUUGGAUUUAAAGGUGGUGUAAUGUUGGAAUAUGGAACAAUUGUAACUCCAAGGAUGAGUUGUACAAGUGUUGAAGUGGGCCAUAACCCACAGGCCCAGGAUUUGAAAAGGAACAGACACAACCUUGUUGUAGGAAGAAAUUAUGGAAGAAGUUGUGAUUUCAUCAGCGGACGUUCCAUAGGAAGUUACGUAAACUCGAGAGUUGUGAAGAAACGAUAGAGGUUUUGUUUGGCUUGCAGGACAUACAGAUUUACCCGAACGCACAUCAUGGAGAAGAGAAGUUCUGCAAUGCUUGUGAGUAUGCCCAAGUGUUAGAAUACGUGAUUCGAUGUCUGCAUAUGUAGUAAUGGUUCAAGUACGGGAUAGAUUGGCCCCCAUACCGGAGACUCCUAUCAAGAACUAUCAUAUGUUGAUGGAGAAUCACAGAGCCAUGAAAACCUUAGAAGAGUGUCAGCACGAUAAGCCAUAAAACCAUAGAAUGGUAGGACGAUGGAACCCUUUACAGGCAACCAUUGCCAAUCGUAGGACAUACGGUGAGAUUCAACCCCGGCCAUUUUCCUGCAGGAGAAGCCAUAAAUUGUUGACCGCCAGGAGGUUCCGAUAGUUUCUUAGUAUUGACGACAGACAUGUCAGAUAUGAAGAUCCACUCUUCGGAAGAACCUCAUCAGGAUUGAGAGGACACGGGAUUUUGAGAAAAGUCAUGCCCCGACCGGAAGAGCACCACUGAAAGAGUUAUCCCGAAGAAUAUGAGAAGACCGACACCAUCAACCCAAAGGAUGGAGUACAUGAAUUUUGUCAGAACCAUAGCCUUGCUUUUAAGUGUGGUAGCAGCCCAGACCUCUGUGAUGAUCGGUGGAUUUGCUGGACGACCCCCAAACCCUAACCUUUUCUUUCUAGCCUUUUCAAAUCUCGAGGACGAGAUUCAUUUUAAGUGUGGUAGGUUUGUAACAUCCCAGAAUUCUAAAUUUUGGAAUGUUAUAUUAAAUAAAUAUUUAUGAUUGUUUGUUUGAUUGUUGUGUGACUGAUUGUGUGAAAUUGAGUGGAAUUUGAAACUUUUUGAAAGUUGAAUGAGAGGGAAUGAAAUGACUUUCCCAAACUUCUCACUUUGCAUUCUGAUCUCCAUGAAUUCAAAUUCUUGUCAAAUGCAAAACCCUAGAGUGAAGAUGACAUGACUUCUUCCAAUUAAAAUGAAAAGGGUUUUUGAAAAUAUUUGAAUUUCAUUUUUGCAAAUAAUUCAAACCAGAAACUUUAUGCAACUCAAUGAUUUUCAUGAGAGAAGAUAAAAUGACUUCUUAAAAUUAUGUGAAAUAUGAGUUGAAAGUUUAAAGAUUCAAAUUGGAAGUUCUUUUGAAACCCUUUUUUUCAAUUCAGAGUUAUUUGGUUUUUCUUCAAAUUAUUUUCUCCAAAAAAUAAAAUAUAUGGAAAAUAGGGUAAAAUGAUUCCCUAAAGUAGAAAAUGGAGAAAAAUGAGUUUGAAAUCAUUUUGGUAUUUUAAAAUAUUUUAUUUGGUUUUUAAAUGAACCGGUAGCACUGUUUUCCUUAUUUAAUUUUUUGUGGAUUUUAGUUGCCUUUGAAAAUAUGUUCAUCUUUUAGGAUUUAUUUUUCUGAACAUUUUGGUAUAUUAUAUGCGUAUAUUAUAUUUCUAUUUGUUUCUUAGUUUAUUUCUGUUCUGUUCUCUGUUUAAAAGAAAAAGGGGAAAAGUCUUUUUAAAAGGCUGAAGCCCAGUCGUCCAGGCCACCUCUCUCUCUCUCCCCGCGGCCCAGCUGGCCUAGCAGCUCGCUCCCGUGCCCGAAAACCCUUCUCACAGGUCGCCCGCUCCCUCUCGCUCUUGCCCGCAGCCACUGACGCAUGGGGCCCGCCGUCUUCUUCCUCCUCACGCCAAGCCAAGUCAACGCCCGAGCUCGCUGAACCGCCGUCGUAUCCCGGAUCGCUCAGGAUCAUCUUCCCCGAUUCGCCCCCUCCUCCAAGAACCCCUCCCCCUAUAUAUACCCCUCUUCCUCGUUCAUUUCCGCCCUAAAGCCGCCCCGAACCCCCCUCCCCCGCACGUAUUGCCUCGCCAGAGCUCGAGCACCGCCGCCACGCCAUUGCCGCCGCAGCACUCGACCCCGACCACCUUGCCGCCACCUGAGAUCACCACCAUAACCCCAUCGCUCGUCCGCAUCUCCCCGUGCCCUCGCCCAAGCCCGAAACGCAUCGGAGCGCCGUCAUCCGCCGAAGCCCGAACGCCAUCGCCGCGUCAACCUCACUGCCGUCCUCCUCUGACGGCCCCGAGCUCACCACCGACCACCAUCGUCAUCGCCAUCAUCUUCCGCAUCUCCUGGACGCCUUCCCCGUCACCGGGGACCACCGGAGGCGUCGACCGCAUUGUACCCGAGCCGCCGGAACCUCGCCGGAGUCACCUCGCCGCCACUGUGAGCAUCCCCUCUCUUCUCCCUCGUUUGAUCUUUUUUCAACGCUCUAGAUUAGAUAUAUCGAGUAGGUUGUUUUUUUAAUUAGAUCGGUUUAGUUCCGGUUUGUUAUGGUUUUUAUUCGGUUUAGAUCGGUUCAGGCCUAGUCGUUUUAGCCGAUCGGUCUUUCUGUUUUAGCCCAUACACAUUUGUGUUAUUUUACGACCGAGCGCUAGAUAGUUCAGAUCGCCCACCUCCCUGGCCCGAUAGCAGUAGGCCACGUAGCUAGUGCCCGAUUGUUUUUGUUUUGUUUUGAUUUUCGUUUCUGUUUUAAAAACAGAAUAGUUCUGAUUUUAUAUUGCUUAUAACUUUUAUGUUUUAUAUCCAAAUUUAGUUUUUUUUUGCAUUAGUUUUAUAAUUUCUUGAAGUUUCUGCUAGUGCAAUUGGAUUUCAUAUUUGAGUUGUUGAAAAUUGAAUUUGAUGAAAUUUGUUCAAAUCACCAAUUUGGUUGUAUCUUGAGUUUUAUAAAAUAUUUUUGAUUGAUUCUUUUUGAUAUUGUUUUUUAUAGUUUUGUCUAUCCAGUAGCAUAUAGUGAUUUAUUUUUAGUUUAUUUUAAAUUAAGUUUUUAGUAAAACAGUACUGUUAUAGUUAUAGUUUUGUUUUAGUCUUUUCUUUAUUGUUUUUAUUAGUUUUAAAUUAUUAUUUUUUGUCACUUUUGACAAAUUUAGUUUUGUUUCUGUAGUUAUAGAGGGUGAGCUUUUAUUUACAGAAAAAUAAAAUGUUUUAUUUAUUUUUCUUACUAGUUUUGUUUUAAGCAUAGUUAGAGUUUUAAUUUAGCUUUUUAUGUGUUUCCUUUUGCUAGUAAAAGUUUAUGAAAAAUACCUUAUGUUAUUUUAAUAAACACUAUAUUUCUUUUCUGAUAGUUAGUUUAGUGUUUUAAUUGUUGUUAAGUUUUUACUUAGGACAAAACUAUUUUGUGUUAUGUCUUCGUCGUGUAGUUUUCCUUGGUUUUUAUUUGGUAUCCCUUGUUGGUUUGCAUUUUAUUUGUUGAUGAGUGUUAGAAUUGCUUGCUAGUAUGUUUGCUUAUAUGAAUGCUAUGUUGGACUUUAUAGAUUUUCAAUGGAGUGACGAAUAGUUCUACCAAGUCAUUAUUCCGAGAGUUUUGUUAUCUUCAUCAAGUAAUACCAGGCAAGUUCACUUUGACCAUGUUUUUCAUACCUAUGUUUUAUUGCAUUUAGUGUCAUCUUUGCAACAAUCCCUCCAGUAGUGAUAUUCAAUUCUUGUAGUUGAGUAGUAUGCAUGAGG